CUGAACCUGCAUGAAUACGGGUGUUUCGAAGGCUUCAGUCCAGUCUCCAUCCGAGAUUCGGAGCGACAUCGCACCCCCUCGGCACUCGGACUGCGAACUGGACAACUAGAUGCUGUGGACAGCAAUCCCGCUCCAAUCAAAUUAAUCUUUUUAAAUUAAAACUCUCUGACAACCUCCACGCAUUGAACCAAUGUUCCAUGCGAAGGUUUUGGGAGGACAUUCCAAUAAUUCGACAAAAACAUCUAAACAACACCUGCUUUUCUGAGUGACGCCAAUAUUAUUAAAACGUAUUUGCAGAGUGAGCGUUCUGUAAGGUACUAAGUAAAUGUCGUCACGCUUGACCACAAUAACAUCCGAUGGAAAGAGAUAAUGCGGUCCAAGAUGGGACGCGUUCAUAUAGAAGAUGCUCAUUCACUCUUAUUCUAAGGACACCCGAACUACAAUUUGGCAGGAAAUACAGAUCGCGGAAAAGUAUUCCAAACCUUAGCCAAGUUUUUUGAACAGCAAUGAAAUAGGCGAUGUAGUUUGCAAGGCUGGUUUUAGUAGAUACCUGAUUUUAUCAAAACCCCGAAUUUGUAAGGUAAUGCUGCGAAAGGACGGUACUUUGAUACUCUUUUAGAAACUUUUAAAGUUGAAGGAACCAAUGGAGAUUGAUUUAAAAGAAUUCGGGCUUAGUUACGUAGUUCGUAAAAGGUGUAUACUUACCUGUCUUAAUACUGUUUGAGACAGUUGCCCGAAACAACUUUUUAGAGUAAUUUUCAUGAUUUUUAUUUUAUAAACUGUUUUCAUAUGGCUCCCCCUUUUUCUUUCCAUCAGAGAAGUCACUUUGUUGACGAUAAAAGGUAUUUCCUAAGAUAUAGUUAGUAUUGAAAAACUUUGGACAUACCUACCCUCAAUUUUUGAUAUUUUUCUAUACAACUUACAUUCAAUAUUUUUCUUAUUUAUUUAUUUAUUACAUUCUAU